CAGCAGCCACGGGAAUACGUAGGGUGCGAGCGUUGUCCGGAAUUAUUGGGCGUAAAGAGCUUGUAGGUGGUUUGUCGCGUCUGCUGUGAAAAUCCGAGGCUCAACCUCGGACUUGCAGUGGGUACGGGCAGACUAGAGUGUGGUAGGGGAGACUGGAAUUCCUGGUGUAGCGGUGGAAUGCGCAGAUAUCAGGAGGAACACCGAUGGCGAAGGCAGGUCUCUGGGCCAUUACUGACACUGAGAAGCGAAAGCAUGGGGAGCGAACAGGAUUAGAUACCCCCGUAGUCCCUGUCUCUUAUAA
rnacentral:rRNA from 1 species